CCUCUCGAAGAUGAAGAGUUCAUCGCCUACCUCCUGCGCGGACUCGGGAGCGAGUACGACUCCCUGGUGACGAGCAUCAUCGUGCGCACAGAUCCAUACUCCAUCAGUGAUGUCUAUGCUCACAUGUUGAAUUAUGAGA